UUUUCUUUUUUUUAGGGCCACACCUGUGCCAUAUGGAAGUUCCCAGGCUAGGGGUUGAAUUGGAGCUGCAGCUAUUGGCUACACCACAGCCACAACAACACCAGAUCCUUAACCCACUGGGCAAGGCCAGGGAUCGAACCCACAUCGUCAUGGAUACUAGUUGAGUUUGUUACUGCUGAGCCACAAUGGGAACUCCCAGACAUCCUUUUUUUUUUUUUUUUUUUUUUUUUUUUGUCAAGGUUGGGGAAGGGGGCAGGAGGCACUAUCCAACAUACUGCAGCUCAUAUCGAAUACUGAUGAUAGAGUCAAAAUUGUCUUGCAUAAUUAGAAUAUAAUUAGAGUAGUCAGAUAGACUGAUUUAUUCUAGUUCACAGUAAACUGGAAAUAAUUUUUAUGCUAUUUAAAAUUUUUUCUUACCUUUAGCCCGAUAACAACUGCAUUCCUUUCUAAUUAUUCAAACACACAAAAACAAGUGCCUUGAGUAUCAGAGGAAAAUAUUCUAUAUUUUGUGACCAUAAAUUAAAAGGAAUCAGUAUUAAAAAGAUAUUUAAGAGAAAAUAGUAAAUGUUUUAGGAAGAUAACAGAGCAGUGGAUAGGUUUUAUGAUAUCCCCAAUUUAUACACAGAAUCAAACAGACUAAGCAUAAUAGAACUUUAAAAGUCACUGACAACACAAAGUAAAUGACAAGCAAUUUUAUGAUCUCCAAAAUAUGAACAAUAAACUAUCCUCUUCUACCAGAUCAAAAGAAUCAAACCUGUAUGAAGUAAAGGCAAUAGGGCUUCUUUUGUUUUUAAGAAUGAGAGAAACCUCCAGCUUCUCAACAGGGACUCAUCAGAAAGAGCAGCAAGGCCCUUUUGAUAAUAGCAAAUAAAUUGAGAAUAAAUUUGGAGAAUAAUUUGGAGAAGAGCAAAAAGCACAUGGUUAGAGACCUACAUCAACACAUCAUUAUCACCCAAAAUCUAUAGUUUACUUUAGAGUUCACUGUUGAAUCCCCAUUGUGGCUCAGUGAGUUAAGAACUCAACUAGUAUCCAUGACAAUGUGGGUUGGAUCCUUGGCCUCACUUAGUGGGUUCAAGAUCCACAGAUGCCCUGAACUGUGGUGUAGGUCACAGAUGUGGCUCAGAUCCCACGUGUUGCUGUGGCUAUGGGUGGUGUAGGCUGGCAGCUGUAGCUCUGAUUCAACCCCUCACCUGGGAACUUCCACAUGCCACAGGUACAAUCCUAAAAAGACCCCCCCCCCAAAAAAAAGAAAAAAGUAACAUUAUAUUGACAGUAAUCUUCAUUUAAUCAAAGUAAUGCAUGUAUAUAAUUAAAACAUAGAUAACAUACAAGAUUAUAAAAUGACUUUCAACUUGAUUUCCAACAUGGACACACCUGUCAAGGAAUUUGUUCCCCACCCCUUUGCAGACUUCGUUCAGUGUCUGUUCUCCUCUAAUCUGGAAUCCAGACAUACUAUUGUCUAGGCUGCUGCAGGGCUCUCACUCCAGAAUUCUUUUUCACUAUUAUCCUGGGGUGCUUUUUGAUUUCUGUCCUUUGUUGAAUGAUGUUUCCCCAAUUCUAUAUCCUCUUCUGUUGGUCUACUCCAUUCUUUUCUUCUGGGACCCAUGUUCCAAUAUAUUUCCAAGAAAAAUUUACAUGGGAGGUAAAUUUGAGAUAUUGCUGUGAAAUAUUGUUUUAUAUUCGUACUUGUUUGAAAAUUUGACUGGCUGAAGAAUAAGCUAUCAUAUAUCAUUUUUUUCUCAGAAAAUUUUAUGACAUUAAUUUUUUAGCUUCUAAUACUCCUUUUGUCAGAUUUAGUUCCAUUUUUUUCCUGAUCUUAUUUAAUCCAUUGUUUUCUCUCUUGGAAAUCUCUUAAUAGCAUCUCUUUACUUCUAGUAUUUUAAAAUUACCCCAUAGUGUACCUCAAUGGGAUUUUUAGACUGUUUGGGAUUUGGGCUGUUUUAUACUCUUCUACAAUAAAGUUUUUCUUUAAUUAUUACUAUUAUUUUGUGAUUUAUUUUCUCCCCUUUGUUUUCUCUUUCUUGAUUUCAUACUGUGAAGAUGCAAAUCCUCCUAAUUUUUGGUUUAUUCCUGAAGAAUCUUGGAAAGUCACUGGACUUGGAGUGACAGUGAAGGAUAGGGAACAACCAAUAGCAGAAUUCGUUGAAUGUCUGUAAAAAGAACUAUUUGACCCCUCAGGUUCCAACCUCCCUCUGAUGUAUACUGGUAAUUGCUCCUUUCUCACUCUUAGAAAUGGAGGUUUUAUUCUCGGGAGAAAUGGAGCCAGAGUGUUCUGGAUUUUUUUAAUAUAAUUUCUGUUAAACAGUGGGAGUAAAAAGAAAUUUUACAGUCUCGAGAAUGGGACUUGUUGCUCAUUAGAUCCUAGAAUGCCAGAUAGGACGCUGCAACCAUUAUGGUUUUCUUCUCAGCAUCUUCAGCUGCAUGGGAUUAUAGCUUCCUCUGUACCUUUUGCUUUUGUUGUGCUUUGCAUCGUGUAAUUGUAUACAAUUUUUAAAACAUACCCUCAAUUACAAUGAGAUUUCAGGAGAUGUGUUCAAAAGUUUAGAUUUACACUAGACAACUGUAUAUUUUAAGUCAACAAAAGUCAAACACAGAGUUUACAUCAGAGGUAUAACAUUUAUCUAUCUUACACUAUAGAUAAGUUUAAAGAAAAGUGAAAAACUGAGAAAUAGAGGUUUUAGGUGUAGGUAAUACACCUAAAAAAAGCAGACUGUCUUAAACACCCUUGUCCUAUUUUUCCUACUGCUGUACCUUUUGGAAUAUUCUUCUCUCUGGCUUUUGUUGUUCACCCCCCCACACACUUUCUUUAGUUCUUCUUCAUCAAAUGUUUCUUUAAUUUUACUAAACAUAUUUCUGAGCCUACAUGAGAAUAUUCCAGGUGUAGACAGAGCCCCCUCUGAUAUUAAUACUGAACAAUUUCCAGAAGCACAGAUUUUACUGAAAUUGACUAGGAAAAGAACACUACCUUAUAAGACAAACAUAUAUUAUAUAACAAAAUUAAAAUUUUACUUAUAUUUUCUGAUAAAACAUAAUGCCUUCAAAGGAUUUUUAUGACUGUCCAUGUUUCUAGAAUCUCCCGGCAUAUGAAUUCUCACUUCUCUGCCCUCAGGCACUUGAAGAGAGAGUUUUGAGAAACUGCUAGGGGAGCUAAAAUGGUUGUUGGAAUUGGGCCUUCCCAGGAGUCGCAAAAUCUUUCCUCACAAAUAAUAAUCUCUGAGGAAAUUCAUCUUUCAGGAAAUUCAUUGUGUACAUGAGAAUAAGCAGAGUUCAACACUAGUCCCAAUACAACCUUUCUCUGAAAUAUAUUACAAAGAAUCUCUAGGGUUGUCUCUGAGGCAGACAGUUAUUCCUCAGAGUUUCAACUAGUCAAUCAAUUAGAUCAGUCAGAGUUCCAUGAAUAAGAACCAUUAUGCUCCAUGAAAAUUUCUCAAAACAUAUAUAUUUAUAUCUUUGCAGUCCUCACGUAAAAUCAAUGGUCUAUAUAUUAACAAUUGCAGGGUAUUUAUAUGCCCAACUUUCCAUCUGAAUCAAACGCUCUCCUUUACUUUCUGUAGAAUGUCAUAAAAUAACAAAUCUAAUACAUUAGUUAUAGGCAAUGUUAUUAGAAUGUAUGUUAUCUUGUACAGCAGCCAAUGACACAAUAAAAAUGAUCACAUUAGAAAAGCAAACUGCCUUAUUUUGUAAUUUGAAUCUCUACUGUUUUCUUUGUACUCACUGCCUCUUAGUUUCUGUUGAAGUUUAAAUGCACGCAGGACAAAAAUAGGACAAUUGCAAUAUAAAUAAAAAUCGUUGAUGUGAACAACAGAAAAGCUUGAGUGGACGAGGAUAGGAGACAGAAAAUUAAAUUAAGUGAGUGUUUUGGUAAAACCAGAAAGGGCCCCUGAAUUAUUAGUAUGGCUUGAUUGAGAAUGUAGACUACAGCUGAUUGGGCGAGAAAAAACAGUAUUUCCAAGCAAAGAGUGACAAACAGGUAAUGAAAAAGCCAUAAGGUAUUUAGCAGGGUCUUAUGUGAUGUCAUCUCUGAGUCUCAGAAUAAAAAAGGAGUGGAAAGUUAGUGAUACUAUGCUUUUAAAAACUCUCAAGAUCCAUAACAGCAUGUUUCUCCCCACAUCUUUAGCAGCUGCCUUUUCCCCAAUAUCUUUGCUGGUAAUUCCGUAUCUUUUUGGCAUCUUGAGUUUUUAAGCUUUCAUCUCAUCUCAUCUCUUUCUUCAUUGUCUUGGCUUUAGGAAUUAUCUAUAUAUCAUGAACUCACAAAUUUUUAUCUCUAGAAGAAAAUUUUACUUCUGGGCUCUUGACUUGAUGACUCAGCUGCUUUCUUCAUAUCUUCACUUAGAUGCUUUAUAGGUAUCUCGAAGUUAAGACAUCCAAAGUUAAAAUGAAUUUUCCACAUAAUAUUUGUCCAUAUUUCAGUCUUCCAACAAUCAGCGAAUCAUAUCAUCAUCAAUCCAAUUUCCCAAGCCAUAAAUGUGGGAUACCUUCUGGAGGAAUCUCCAUCUUCCUUACUCUAUAUAUAAUCAUUUUUGUUAUACCUCUAGGAUAUUAAAUUUUUCUACUUGUCUCAAUUUAUUCUUUUUCAAUUGAAACCCAUAACUUCCACUUGGAACACUCUAACAAUUUUCCAACUUAUCUUCUUGAUUCAGUCAUAACCUCCAGCAAUCCAUAGUUACCCAGUAACCACAUAAAUUCAAUCCACAACAGUCAUAUUCCAAGCUUCCACGUGGGCAUGACCUUCAGGGAGAAUGUUCAACCCACCACAGUCCACUGUCUGAUCUCCAAUUAUUCACAUCUAUGUAAAAAAUGUUUCUCUCAUCCCAAGGUUUCCAAAGGUCUUAGCCCAUUUUAGCAUCAAACAUCACAUCCCAAAUCUAAAUGUCAACUCAGAACAGUCCAUCCUGGGGCAAAAUUCUUCUCCAUCCACCGACUUU
rnacentral:lncRNA from 1 species